GCAUUCUCCUGAACUAGGGGCACACUUUCUCCUCUCUAAUCCAUUUUGUCCCUUAAGAGAGUAAAUACAAAUUGAAGGAUUCUACUCCAAGGAGUCCCCACCAAGCCUGCUUCUGGACAUUCCAGAACCAACAAAUGAAAUGUUUCUUUCCUUUCAGGACACCCUGCCUUGGUUGCUGUAUUAAUUCACUACGGGGUUGGGUUGAAUAGGUCGCUUUAUUCAGGCAUGACUCCUCACGGGUCUCUGCUGUUGCUGCUAUUGCAUCUGGUAGUGAAAGAGAUCAUUGAUGGCUCUCCUCAGCCUUGUGACAUGGUCUGCUCUGUCUCUGACAAUCAUUUGUAUCAUGUCAGGAAAGAAUAAACAAAGAGAGAGGAGAAACAGAGGCAUCCUUUGUUCAUAGUCACAUGAUAGCUGAGUGGCCUAAAAAUGAGUUGUAGAAAGUCAGAGGCCACCAAGCGCUAUUCCUCUCUCAUCACUCCAAAACCUCCGGGGAAGAGAGAGUGAGGGAUGAUCCUUUUCUCCUUUUGUGUGAGCAUUCAUUUCUGCCUCCGGAGAUAACUAAAGAAUUCCUUUGCUACUCAGUCAGCGAAGAAGAAAUAAUCAGAAUGGUUUUGUGUGUUCUCCAAUGGAGGCUCCAGCUUCUUUUUGCUCAAGCCCAGAAGCAAGCUCGCCAAAUUUCUACAUAUUGGCUUCAGGCCAAGCAGAGACACCAGGGUCCAAUGGCAAGGCGAAAAUCAGGAUGACUGGUGAAGGCACAGGAUGCAGUGGAUGACCUUGCUGUCUUUCAUGUCUGACCAGUCUCUGAGCACUCCACAGUGUCUGCUUCGGCCACCUUUAUGGCCACUGGAAGGAAUUGUUCUUGUCUAUCCAUUGUCAUGGGAAGUCUUCACAUGCUUAGGUUUCAACGAUCCUGCCUGUCUUCCUUCCUCCCUCCAAGCGACCACAUCAAUGUCCAGUGCCCCAAAUCCCAAAAUACUCUCCAAACUCAAUGUGAAGCUUCCACUUGGCAGCCAGCUGAGCUCACAGGGAAUGCAAAUGACCUUCUAAUGCCUGGGAUCCAAGAAUGGAGAAACUCGGGGCUCUCACUAGCCCAUCUUGAUGCAUUAGAAAUUUUCUUACAAAAGAAAGAAGGGUCUCUAGAGUUUACUUGA
rnacentral:lncRNA from 1 species